rnacentral:rRNA from 1 species
GAGUUGCAAGGUAUAGACCCGAAACCCGGUGAUCUAGCCAUGGGCAGGUUGAAGGUUGGGUAACACUAACUGGAGGACCGAACCGACUAAUGUUGAAAAAUUAGCGGAUGACUUGUGGCUGGGGGUGAAAGGCCAAUCAAACCGGGAGAUAGCUGGUUCUCCCCGAAAUCUAUUUAGGUAGAGCCUUGAGCGGACACCUUCGGGGGUAGAGCACUGUUUCGGCUAGGGGUCCAUCCCGGAUUACCAACCCGAUGCAAACUGCGAAUACCGAAGAGUGAUACUCAGGAGACACACGGCGGGUGCUAACGUUCGUCGUGGAGAGGGAAACAACCCAGACCGCCAGCUAAGGUCCCGAAGUCUAUAUUAAGUGGGAAACGAAGUGGGAAGGCUUAGACAGCUAGGAUGUUGGCUUAGAAGCAGCCAUCAUUUAAAGAAAGCGUAAUAGCUCAAUAGUCGAGUCGGCCUGCGCGGAAGAUGUAACGGGGCUCGAAGAUAGCACCGAAGCUGCGGCAUCAGAAUUUAUUCUGGUGGGUAGGGGAGCGUUGUGUAAGCGGAUGAAGGUGGCUCGAGAGGGAUGCUGGACGUAUCACAAGUGCGAAUGCUGACAUAAGUAACGAUAAAACGAGUGAAAAACUCGUUCGCCGGAAGACCAAGGGUUCCUGUCCAACGUUAAUCGGGGCAGGGUGAGUCGGCCCCUAAGGCGAGGCUGAAAAGCGUAGUCGAUGGGAAACGGGUUAAUAUUCCCGUACUUGGAUAAACUGCGAUGUGGGGACGGAGAAGGU